AGGGGUAUAGCUCAGCUGGUAGAGCAGCGGUCUCCAAAACCGCGUGCCUGAGGUUCGAAUCCUCAUACCCCUGCCA
rnacentral:tRNA from 1 species